AUUGAACGCUGGCGGCAGGCCUAAGACAUGCAAGUCGAGCGAGAAAGCCCUUCGGGGUGAGUACAGCGGCGGACGGGUGAGUAACGCGUAGGAAUCUACCCAGUAGUGGGGGACAACUAGUGGAAACGCUAGCUAAUACCGCAUACGCCCUAAGGGGGAAAGCGGGGGAUCUUCGGACCUCGUGCUAUUGGAUGAGCCUGCGUAAGAUUAGCUUGUUGGUGGGGUAAUGGCUCACCAAGGCGACGAUCUUUAGCUGGUCUGAGAGGAUGAUCAGCCACACCGGGACUGAGACACGGCCCGGACUCCUACGGGAGGCAGCAGUCGGGAAUAUUGCGCAAUGGGGGAAACCCUGACGCAGCCAUGCCGCGUGUGUGAAGAAGGCCCUAGGGUUGUAAAGCACUUUCAAUUGGGAGGAAAAGCUAAUGGUUAAUAGCCAUUAGCCCUGACGUUACCUUUAGAAGAAGCACCGGCUAACUCCGUGCCAGCAGCCGCGGUAAUACGGAGGGUGCAAGCGUUAAUCGGAAUUACUGGGCGUAAAGCGCGCGUAGGCGGCUCUUUAAGUCGGAUGUGAAAGCCCCGGGCUCAACCUGGGAACUGCAUCCGAUACUGGAGGGCUAGAGUGUAGGAGAGGGAGGUAGAAUUCCAUGUGUAGCAGUGAAAUGCGUAGAUAUAUGGAGGAAUACCAGUGGCGAAGGCGGCCUCCUGGCUUAACACUGACGCUGAGGUGCGAAAGCGUGGGGAGCAAACGGGAUUAGAUACCCCGGUAGUCCACGCCGUAAACGAUGUCUACUAGCUGUAGGGGUACUUGAGACCUUUGUAGCGCAGCUAACGCACUAAGUAGACCGCCUGGG
rnacentral:rRNA from 1 species